GUGGCUGGGACAGGGUCCUGCUUUCCCUGCUGUCGCUGCUGACUGUUGGCCUGGUCUGACUCCAGUGCUUUGUCUGUAAGCUGGAAGGGCAUUCGCUGGACACCAGCAGCCGUGCUGCUCCGGCGGGAGCCCUGCCAGGCCAGCAGUCAAGUGGGGCCCUGGGUGACUCACUGGGACACUGGUGCUGCUGCGGGUGACUUCGGACCUUGGUGUCCACCUGCUGCUGCCCCUCCCCCAUUCGUGCUCUUUUCAGACCUUGGACUUGGCCGUGGCUCCUGAGCCCUGGGACAGCGAGUCCUGUACUGUGGAUCUGACACCCACUGCCUCCACCCUGCAGUGCUCACCCCAUGUCCCCCAGGCCACAGGUCCUGACUGCACCUGCCCCAACCCAGGCACAUCCCUGGCUGUGACACCCUGACCAGCUGGCUCGGUUGUGAGGCCAGCGCCGACAUGACAUGGCGUCUCUGUCUCUGCCUCCUCUGGGUACAGACCCAAGCAGAGCCGUUUCCCUGGACAGGGCCGCAGCUCCUCUGGCCUGUGCUGUCCCCAUCCCCCUCUGUAUCCCCAGGUGUCUCCUCCCAUGCCACGCCCCUCCUCCCAAAAGCCCACAGGCCCCUCCGGUACACAGGUGUGACUUGUCUUCUGUGUAGGAAGGGUCGCUUGUGCUGUUCACUUCCACUGUCCCCUGACCCUGGUGGCCGGCGACUCCCAGGGUAGAGCUUCCAAGGGGUGAGGGGCAUUUGUGCUCCAACUUCAGCUGCUGUGUGUACACAAAGGUCCAGUGGCAAAAGGACCUGGGUCAGGAGGGCAGCUCUGGCUCACUGAGCUUUGAAGUUCCCAGGGUGUCUCAUCUGUCCCCAGCCCUCCAGUGCCAGGGCCUCCUGCUCCACGCUGCUUGGUCACAGUCACCGUGAGUGUGGCCUGCCACACUGCUUGCUAAGUGGUUCUUUGAGGCAAUGUUCUGAUCUCAUCAACCCAGGUGGCCAUGGGCGUGGGUGUGGCACUGUCUGGCCCCCCUCUCCUGCGCUGCCCUGGGAGCCAACUCGGGAUCUGGCUUGGCUUUCCUGGCCCAGCCACUGCCUCGUUGGUGGACACUCACUGCCUUGCUGCCCACAGCAACCAUCACCUCGGGGUCAGAGAGCAGAAGCGCUGCCCUAGACAUUGCCCUGAGACACUGCUGAGUCCUCCUAGUAAACUGCCCACUCGUGUCACAGAUGUAAACUAAUGAAGGCCCGGCUCAGAAAAUCCCCGAACAUUUGUCUCAGACCCUGGAGACAUCUUGGUGAUUUUCCCCCUAAACCAUUUUCUAUGCCGACAGAGGGGACAUGUCAGGGACUCACAGGUGGGCGCCUGGCCUGCAGGACUCCUGUGCAGGCUGGAGGGCAGAAGGACAGUCCAGGCCCAAGCUGGUGCCCUGACACCUGUGGCCCCACGCCCAGCCCAAGACGACACUGCUUGCUCACUCUCUGGCUUUCUUCCCAGGUUUCCUGUGUCCCCUCCCCAUCAGGAUCAGCGCCAGGCAAGCGACAUGGCUGCUGUUCUGUUCCCGGUGUGUUCCUCAUUCCCAGCCCAGGCCCAGCACACCAUAGGCACCAAGUAACCACUGUGAAAUGGCGAUUAAGAGUGUAUGAGGCUUCUAUGUUUUAUUAAAAACUUUUUUGCUUAUUUAUUUUUUGAGACAGGGUCUCACUGUGAGUUCAGGCUGGCCUGGAACUCAUUAUGCAGCCCAGGCUGGCCUCAAAGUCACAGGGAUCUUCCUGCCUCAGCCUCCCAAGUGCUGAAAUUACAAGCACGCGCCACUGCGCUUUGUGACGAACAUCCAAAGCAACCCACAUGUGCAUAGAAACAUCACAACACACCUCACAUGAGCAUGGGCAAGCACUCUUUGUCAGGUUCUGAUAAAAAUUUUAGAAGUUUAAAAGUAUGGUGGUGCACGCCUGUAAUCCCAGCUACUCAGGAGGCUGAGUCAGAAGGAUGGCAAGUUCAAGGUCAUUUUGGGCAACUUUGCAAAAUUAAAAAGAAAUAACCAUGGCAGAUCUACACUAGGGUGCAAGUAUUCACAAUGACAUCCUGAUGUAACUCCAUAAAGAGAUCUGCUAAUUAUGUUACUGAAUGGGGAACGGGAAGAUAAAAUGGGUAACUGAAAUGUAUAUACCUACAGGCAGAGGUUUCAUUUGGUAAGAAAAGGAAAGUCCUGAUGAACCGUGAAACUGUACCGAGUGAAAGAAAUGCCAAGGCCACUAAAUAGUUGGUGAUUCCAUUUAUUUCAGGAAUAUCCCCAAGUGUGGCAGUGCACAUCUGGGAGGCCAAGACGGCAGGGUCAUGCAUUUGAGCCCAAGUCGGGCAGUUGAGUGGCUGAAUGAUGCUCUGUCUUGAAAUAAAAAAUAAAAAUUGGCAGGUGAUACAGCUACCUGGGAAGACCCUGGGCUCCAUCCUGGUACAGAAAAAGGAAAGGAAAGGACGGGAAGGCAAGGGAGGGGAGGAGAGGGGAGAAGAAGAAAAAAGGAAAGGAAAGUCUGUAAUCAACAACCACAGGGAACUAAAGCAGAUAGGCAGAGUCAGCACUGGGACAGCAGAGUUAGGAGACAGUGGUCGCUGCUAUUGGGCACACGGUUUCUUUUUGGAAUAAAAAUAUUCUGAAGUUGAUUGCACUAAUAUGCACACAACUCUGAGUGUACUAACACAUUGGGUCCUGUACUUUACAGCAUCUGAAUUAGAGCUCAAUAAAGUUCUACUGCAGUGUCGAAUGUGAAAGAAAGCGAGGCAGAGAUGUGGACUCUUCUUUGGAAGAUGUUUCUGUCUUCCAAAGAAGAGAAACCAAACUCCAGGGAAACCCUGCUCCUGAAAAAUAAGUAAGUUUUUCCUUAUGGGGGGAGAGGAGCUGGGAGUCUCAGAACAGAUCUGGCUUAAAUCAGGCAAAUGUGUCUAGAGCUAAACAAAACUUAAGACACGAGUGGCCCAACGAUGAAAUACGCCAGGUUCAAGGUGUUUUCCACACCGGUACGAGCCGGUGCUCUGAGCACAGUUCUUGGACCACAUUCCUGGCCGGUGUUACCCUAAGACAGGCACUGCAGAAAGCUUCCAGGAACCCCGUGCAGCAGAGAGGAAGGGGAGAGGGGAAGGAAUUUUUACUGGGACCAGAGAUUGAAUCCAGGGCCUUGGCACCAGCUCCAUCCCUAGCACCACCCCCUUGUUUUGAGACAGGCAAAAUGCGUUGAGUUGCUAAAUUGCCCGGAGUGGACUCAAACCUGUGAGGAGAAGCUGCCUCAGCCUCCCACAGGGUUCAGAACACAAGCUUGCACCACCUUGCUGGCCCAAGAGGAAGAGCUACACAUAUUGUUACAGCUUGUGUCUGAAUCCCCCAAACAUCAUGGACCCAUGGAGAGCUGUUUCCGCUCUGCCCUGCCCCUGUGCCAAGCUUCCCUGCCUUGGAGCCAGCUGGUUUUGAACUGAACCACUACAGACUGUGAGCCAGGAAAAUCUUUCAAAAAACCAAAAAAUCCCUACAGGCCUUAGAGACUCUGCGAGCCUGAGCCGCCCAGCCCCGCCCUGCUCUACUACUGAGCUGUGCUUCCCGUCUGCAGGGCAGCAGCUGUGCUGGGGCAGUGGGUCUCAACUCGGAACACUGGCAAGCGCUUUGCCUCCUGCUUUGGCAUGUGUGACCUGAGGGCGGGAACACACUCCCCAGGGGACCCAUCCUGAAGAAGCCCCAAGACCUCGCAAAUGUAUCCAGCUCCACAUCAAUGGGUCUCUGGCACUCUGAUUGCACCUGUUUAAUUCUUGCCUCGAACGACCCUGCCAUGCCCCCUACGGCAGGGUCACCUCGUAAACUAUGCUGGGUCGUGAUGCUAUUUUCUGGACCAAGGACAGGUGUCAUUUGAAGAGCGGCAAGUCGCAGACUGAGGAAGGUCGACUCUGGGUGUCCAGUAUGAGCACCUGAGUCGUCCCAGAAAGUGAGAAAACCAGGGCGCUCUCGCGUUCCUCCCCAGUGCGAGAAGCCCCUGUGAAGGCCCCAGCAGGUGAGGGGACGCAACUGAGGAUGCUCAGGGACAGGAUAAGGAGUGGGCCAUGAUUAUCCCGUCUUCCUUAGCUUGGAACCUGGUCCCCACCACAGGAGGAUUUUUAAAAGAACUAU